rnacentral:rRNA from 1 species
AGAGUUUGAUCAUGGCUCAGAUUGAACGCUGGCGGCAGGCCUAACACAUGCAAGUCGAACGGUAACAGGAAGCAGCUUGCUGCUUCGCUGACGAGUGGCGGACGGGUGAGUAAUGUCUGGGAAGCUGCCUGAUGGAGGGGGAUAACUACUGGAAACGGUAGCUAAUACCGCAUAAUGUCGCAAGACCAAAGAGGGGGACCUUCGGGCCUCUUGCCAUCGGAUGUGCCCAGAUGGGAUUAGCUUGUUGGUGGGGUAACGGCUCACCAAGGCGACGAUCCCUAGCUGGUCUGAGAGGAUGACCAGCCACACUGGAACUGAGACACGGUCCAGACUCCUACGGGAGGCAGCAGUGGGGAAUAUUGCACAAUGGGCGCAAGCCUGAUGCAGCCAUGCCGCGUGUAUGAAGAAGGCCUUCGGGUUGUAAAGUACUUUCAGCGGGGAGGAAGGGAGUAAAGUUAAUACCUUUGCUCAUUGACGUUACCCGCAGAAGAAGCACCGGCUAACUCCGUGCCAGCAGCCGCGGUAAUACGGAGGGUGCAAGCGUUAAUCGGAAUUACUGGGCGUAAAGCGCACGCAGGCGGUUUGUUAAGUCAGAUGUGAAAUCCCCGGGCUCAACCUGGGAACUGCAUCUGAUACUGGCAAGCUUGAGUCUCGUAGAGGGGGGUAGAAUUCCAGGUGUAGCGGUGAAAUGCGUAGAGAUCUGGAGGAAUACCGGUGGCGAAGGCGGCCCCCUGGACGAAGACUGACGCUCAGGUGCGAAAGCGUGGGGAGCAAACAGGAUUAGAUACCCUGGUAGUCCACGCCGUAAACGAUGUCGACUUGGAGGUUGUGCCCUUGAGGCGUGGCUUCCGGAGCUAACGCGUUAAGUCGACCGCCUGGGGAGUACGGCCGCAAGGUUAAAACUCAAAUGAAUUGACGGGGGCCCGCACAAGCGGUGGAGCAUGUGGUUUAAUUCGAUGCAACGCGAAGAACCUUACCUGGUCUUGACAUCCACGGAAGUUUUCAGAGAUGAGAAUGUGCCUUCGGGAACCGUGAGACAGGUGCUGCAUGGCUGUCGUCAGCUCGUGUUGUGAAGUGUUGGGUUAAGUCCCGCAACGAGCGCAACCCUUAUCCUUUGUUGCCAGCGGUCCGGCCGGGAACUCAAAGGAGACUGCCAGUGAUAAACUGGAGGAAGGUGGGGAUGACGUCAAGUCAUCAUGGCCCUUACGACCAGGGCUACACACGUGCUACAAUGGCGCAUACAAAGAGAAGCGACCUCGCGAGAGCAAGCGGACCUCAUAAAGUGCGUCGUAGUCCGGAUUGGAGUCUGCAACUCGACUCCAUGAAGUCGGAAUCGCUAGUAAUCGUGGAUCAGAAUGCCACGGUGAAUACGUUCCCGGGCCUUGUACACACCGCCCGUCACACCAUGGGAGUGGGUUGCAAAAGAAGUAGGUAGCUUAACCUUCGGGAGGGCGCUUACCACUUUGUGAUUCAUGACUAGGGUGAAGUCGUAACAAGGUAACCGUAGGGGAACCUGCGGUUG